ensembl:scaRNA small Cajal body-specific RNA 6
GGUCAGUGAUGAACAGUAAAAGGUCUGAUUACCCAGAAUCCCCUCCUGCUGCCCUCUGGCUCUCAGCAGCCCCUGCUCACAGUUCCCAUCAUGCUCUAGUAGUGCAGUGGUGGUCCUUGCAACUGCUGACAGAUAGGGGGUGACAUCACCACGAGUCUGUACAGAGAUCGUAUUGGCUCAGCGUGACUGACUUCCAACAGAACCAAUCAGCAAGGAGCGUCAGGCAGAGGAGGGGGCGGGUGCUGAUCUCAAGUUUUCAAUCUGAGACC